rnacentral:rRNA from 1 species
GCCUAACACAUGCAAGUCGAGCGGCAGCACGGGAAGCUUGCUUCCUGGUGGCGAGCGGCGGACGGGUGAGUAAUGCAUAGGAAUCUGCCCGGUAGUGGGGGAUAACCUGGGGAAACCCAGGCUAAUACCGCAUACGUCCUACGGGAGAAAGCAGGGGCUCUUCGGACCUUGCGCUAUCGGAUGAGCCUAUGUCGGAUUAGCUGGUUGGUGAGGUAAUGGCUCACCAAGGCGACGAUCCGUAGCUGGUCUGAGAGGAUGAUCAGCCACAUCGGGACUGAGACACGGCCCGAACUCCUACGGGAGGCAGCAGUGGGGAAUAUUGGACAAUGGGCGCAAGCCUGAUCCAGCCAUGCCGCGUGUGUGAAGAAGGCCCUCGGGUUGUAAAGCACUUUCAGUGGGGAAGAAAGCCUUCCGGUUAAUACCCGGGAGGAAGGACAUCACCCACAGAAGAAGCACCGGCUAACUCCGUGCCAGCAGCCGCGGUAAUACGGAGGGUGCGAGCGUUAAUCGGAAUUACUGGGCGUAAAGCGCGCGUAGGUGGCUUGAUAAGCCGGUUGUGAAAGCCCCGGGCUCAACCUGGGAACGGCAUCCGGAACUGUCAGGCUAGAGUGCAGGAGAGGAAGGUAGAAUUCCCGGUGUAGCGGUGAAAUGCGUAGAGAUCGGGAGGAAUACCAGUGGCGAAGGCGGCCUUCUGGACUGACACUGACACUGAGGUGCGAAAGCGUGGGUAGCAAACAGGAUUAGAUACCCUGGUAGUCCACGCCGUAAACGAUGUCGACUAGCCGUUGGGUCCUUCGCGGACUUUGUGGCGCAGUUAACGCGAUAAGUCGACCGCCUGGGGAGUACGGCCGCAAGGUUAAAACUC